UACGAGGGUCCCUAGCGUUGUUCGGAAUUAUUGGGCGUAAAGCGUGCGCAGGCGGUUUUGUAAGACAGAUGUGAAAUCCCCGGGCUUAACCUGGGAACUGCAUUUGUGACUGCAAGACUAGAGUACGGCAGAGGGGGGUAGAAUUCCACGUGUAGCAGUGAAAUGCGUAGAUAUGUGGAGGAAUACCGAUGGCGAAGGCAGCCCCCUGGGUCGAUACUGACGCUCAUGCACGAAAGCGUGGGGAGCAAACAGG
rnacentral:rRNA from 1 species